GGGUGCAUGGUCUAGUGGUAUGAUUUUCGCUUCGCAACUGGUCUACUCUGUAGACUGUGCGCUUGUGAAAGGUCCCCGGUUCGAUCCCGGGUGCAUCCA